GGCGAGUGAAGCGGCAAAAGCUCAAAUUUGAAAUCUGGCGUCUUCGACGUCCGAGUUGUAAUUUGAAGAAGGCGACUUUGUAGCUGGUCCUUGUCUAUGUUCCUUGGAACAGGACGUCAUAGAGGGUGAGAAUCCCGUGUGGCGAGGAUCCCAGUUAUUUGUAAAGUGCUUUCGACGAGUCGAGUUGUUUGGGAAUGCAGCUCUAAGUGGGUGGUAAAUUCCAUCUAAAGCUAAAUAUUGGCGAGAGACCGAUAGCGAACAAGUACAGUGAUGGAAAGAUGAAAAGAACUUUGAAAAGAGAGUGAAAAAGUACGUGAAAUUGUUGAAAGGGAAGGGCAUUUGAUCAGACAUGGCGUUUGCUUCGGCUUUCGCUGGGCCAGCAUCAGUUUUAGCGGUUGGAUAAAUCCUCGGGAAUGUGGCUCUGCUUCGGUAGAGUGUUAUAGCCCGUGGGAAUACAGCCAGCUGGGACUGAGGAUUGCGACUUU
rnacentral:rRNA from 1 species